UCCCCGCUGGUGUAACUGGUAACACACCUGAUUCUGGUUCAGGAGAGUCGAGGUUCGAUCCCUCGGUGGGGAG
rnacentral:tRNA from 2 species